rnacentral:rRNA from 1 species
AUUGAACGCUGGCGGCAUGCCUUACACAUGCAAGUCGAACGGCAGCACGGGUGCUUGCACCUGGUGGCGAGUGGCGAACGGGUGAGUAAUACAUCGGAACAUGUCCUGUAGUGGGGGAUAGCCCGGCGAAAGCCGGAUUAAUACCGCAUACGAUCUACGGAUGAAAGCCGGGGAGCUUCGGGGCUCGCGCUAUAGGGUUGGCCGAUGGCGGAUUAGCUAGUUGGGGGGGUAAAGGCCUACCAAGGCGACGAGCAGGAGCUGGUCUGAGAGGACGAGCAGCCCCACUGGGACUGGGACACGGCCCAGACUCCUACGGGAGGCAGCAGUGGGGAAUUUUGGACAAUGGGCGAAAGCCUGAUCCAGCAAUGCCGCGUGUGUGAAGAAGGCCUUCGGGUUGUAAAGAACUUUUGUCCGGAAAGAAAUCCUUGGCCCUAAUACGGUCGGGGGAUGACGGUACCGGAAGAAGAAGCACCGGCUAACUACGUG